GACGAACGCUGGCGGCGUGCCUAAUACAUGCAAGUCGAGCGGACUGAUUAAGAGCUUGCUCUUAUGACGUUAGCGGCGGACGGGUGAGUAACACGUGGGCAACCUGCCCUGUAGAUCGGGAUAACACCGAGAAAUCGGUGCUAAUACCGGGUAAUAUCUGAGAUCACAUGAUCUUAGGUUAAAAGAUGGCUCCGGCUAUCACUACAGGAUGGGCCCGCGGUGCAUUAGCUAGUUGGUAAGGUAAUGGCUUACCAAGGCGACGAUGCGUAGCCGAACUGAGAGGGUGAUCGGCCACACCUGGACUGGGACACGGCCCAAAAUCCUACGGGAAGCAGCAGUAGGGAAUCUUCCGCAAUGGACGAAAGUCUGACGGAGCAACGCCGGGUGAGUGAUGAAGGGUUUCGGCUCGUAAAGCUCUGUUGUUAGGGAAGAAACAGUACCGAACGAACUAGGUCGGUACCUUGACGGUACCUAACCAGAAAGCCACGGCUAACUACGUG
rnacentral:rRNA from 1 species